AGGUAUAAGAAAAUGUCAGAAAGGUUAACGAUAUUCAGUACUAUAGAAGACCUGAGAGGUUGCAGUGAUAACGCCUUAGUAGCAGAUAUAGAUGCAGUGGGUAGGGAAGUGAUUCUUAAGUAUAUUCUUGAAUUGAGGGAAGCAGCCAGGAUAGCCGAACUAGGUCCCCCAAUAGUGUGCCCAGGACCUCCAGAGUUACCUGUACUUUACUUAAACUCGGAGGAUGAAGAAGGAGAACAACAAGCUCGUCGCGCCAAAUCAUCUCGAGCACAGAUCAAGUUUACUGCUCGCUUCAAAAACGAAACAGCUGGUAAUAUAGACCUAAUUUGGAAGGAUUAUGAUGGGAAAGAAGUGGUAGUUAGGCAGGAUAUCAAGCCUGGAGACCCUCACGGAGAAUGUACUUACUUAACUCACCCUUUUAUUGCUAGAGACAGUGCAACAGGGAAACUGAGAUCUUUCAACUAUCAGUCUACAACAUCACUUGUUUUUGAGGGGCUCAAUUUCGGUGUCCCUCAUAAUGCUGACGUUAAUGUGACCAUUUGUGAGGAAAUUUCGAUGUAAAUGAAAAGUUGAUAAGCUGGAGGAGUUUUUCAUAAUCUAUCGUGGAAAAGUUGACCUUCAGAAAA